GGCUUUUGAAGCCAUUGCGUAGCGACAAAGAUAUGAAUCACAAUACUGCAAGGCUGCAGCACUCUGCAUCUUUGCCCAAUUUUGGUUGCCAUAGCGACAACAGCAGUAUCCCACCGAUUAGGGUUGGCUCUCCUUCGUCAUACCUUGAUGUUUUACUGCCAGCUUGUGGUGAUCACAAAUCCCAAACGUUUCACAGCACUGAUGCAGACGAGUCUCGAGAUGUGUGGCAGGGGAGGUUUGGAGAGCUAUCACUGAGUCAGGUUUCAUACAGUACUUGUUCAGUGGACGAAGCAAGGCGCACUACCAGAGGAAUCAAUGUGCCAGCGAGUGUACAUAUAUGUAUAUAACAAACUGCAUUACUUUUGCUAUAAGCCAGCAAGAAGACCUAACAUUUCAAGUUUGUGCAGUCCAUGUAUCUAAUGUGAAAUCUGAUCCAUUGUACAAAUGAAGCUAAUGUUGUGCUCUUGUGUCCUUCAUUCGAAAGCAGUCUAAGUCACAUAUGAGGUGUUAGAAGGAAAUUACAAUAAAUUUCAGUAGUACAAUUUUA